GAUGAACGCUGGCGGCGUGCCUAAUACAUGCAAGUCGAGCGAAUGGAUUAAGAGCUUGCUCUUAUGAAGUUAGCGGCGGACGGGUGAGUAACACGUGGGUAACCUGCCCAUAAGACUGGGAUAACUCCGGGAAACCGGGGCUAAUACCGGAUAACAUUUUGAACCGCAUGGUUCGAAAUUGAAAGGCGGCUUCGGCUGUCACUUAUGGAUGGACCCGCGUCGCAUUAGCUAGUUGGUGAGGUAACGGCUCACCAAGGCAACGAUGCGUAGCCGACCUGAGAGGGUGAUCGGCCACACUGGGACUGAGAAACUGCCCAGACUCCUACGGGAGGCAGCAGUAGGGAAUCUUCCGCAAUGGACGAAAGUCUGACGGAGCAACGCCGCGUGAGUGACGAAGGCUUUCGGGUCGUAAAACUCUGUUGUUAGGGAAGAACAAGUGCUAGUUGAAUAAGCUGGCACCUUGACGGUACCUAACCAGGAAGCCACGGCUAACUACGUGCCAGCAGCCGCAGUAA
rnacentral:rRNA from 1 species